UACGUAGGGGGCAAGCGUUGUCCGGAUUUAUUGGGCGUAAAGAGCGUGUAGGCGGUCAGGUAGGUCCGUUGUGAAAACUCGAGGCUCAACCUCGAGACGCCGAUGGAAACCAUCUGACUAGAGUGCAGAAGGGGCAACUGGAAUUCUCGGUGUAGCGGUGAAAUGCGUAGAUAUCGAGAGGAACACCUGCGGCGAAGGCGGGUUGCUGGGCUGACACUGACGCUGAUGCGCGAAAGCCAGGGGAGCGAACGGG
rnacentral:rRNA from 1 species